rnacentral:rRNA from 1 species
AAUGUCUGGGAAACUGCCUGAUGGAGGGGGAUAACUACUGGAAACGGUAGCUAAUACCGCAUAACCUCGCAAGAGCAAAGAGGGGGACCUUCGGGCCUCUCGCCAUCAGAUGUGCCCAGAUGGGAUUAGCUAGUAGGUGAGGUAAUGGCUCACCUAGGCGACGAUCCCUAGCUGGUCUGAGAGGAUGACCAGCCACACUGGAACUGAGACACGGUCCAGACUCCUACGGGAGGCAGCAGUGGGGAAUAUUGCACAAUGGGCGCAAGCCUGAUGCAGCCAUGCCGCGUGUGUGAAGAAGGCCUUCGGGUUGUAAAGCACUUUCAGCGGGGAGGAAGGCAGUAAGGUUAAUAACCUUAUUGAUUGACGUUACCCGCAGAAGAAGCACCGGCUAACUCCGUGCCAGCAGCCGCGGUAAUACGGAGGGUGCAAGCGUUAAUCGGAAUGACUGGGCGUAAAGCGCACGCAGGCGGUCUGUUAAGUUGGAUGUGAAAUCCCCGGGCUUAACCUGGGAACUGCAUUCAAAACUGACAGGCUAGAGUCUUGUAGAGGGGGGUAGAAUUCCAGGUGUAGCGGUGAAAUGCGUAGAGAUCUGGAGGAAUACCGGUGGCGAAGGCGGCCCCCUGGACAAAGACUGACGCUCAGGUGCGAAAGCGUGGGGAGCAAACAGGAUUAGAUACCCUGGUAGUCCACGCUGUAAACGAUGUCGAUUUGGAGGUUGUGCCCUUGAGGCGUGGCUUCCGGAGCUAACGCGUUAAAUCGACCGCCUGGGGAGUACGGCCGCAAGGUUAAAACUCAAAUGAAUUGACGGGGGCCCGCACAAGCGGUGGAGCAUGUGGUUUAAUUCGAUGCAACGCGAAGAACCUUACCUACUCUUGACAUCCACAGAAUUCGGCAGAGAUGCCUUAGUGCCUUCGGGAACUGUGAGACAGGUGCUGCAUGGCUGUCGUCAGCUCGUGUUGUGAAAUGUUGGGUUAAGUCCCGCAACGAGCGCAACCCUUAUCCUUUGUUGCCAACGAUUCGGUCGGGAACUCAAAGGAAACUGCCGGUGAUAAACCGGAAGAAGGUGGGGGAUGACGUCAAGUCAUCAUGGGCCCUUACGAGUAGGGCU